GACAGAGGGUGCAAACGUUGUUCGGAAUUACUGGGCGUAAAGCGAGUGUAGGCGGUCUGUAAAGUCAGGUGUGAAAGCCCCGGGCUCAACCCGGGAAGUGCACUUGAAACUCACAGGCUAGAGUAUCGGAGAGGUUGGUGGAAUUCUCGGUGUAGAGGUGAAAUUCGUAAGAUAUCGAGAGGAACACCGGUGGCGAAGGCGGCUACCUGGACGGCUAUUGACGCUGGGACGCGAAAGCGUGGGGGAGCAAACAGG
rnacentral:rRNA from 1 species